rnacentral:rRNA from 1 species
AACGAACGCUGGCGGCGUGCCUAACACAUGCAAGUCGAGCGCGAAAAGGGCAACCUGAGUAGAGCGGCGCACGGGUGCGUAACACGUGGGUAAUCUGCCUUAGAGUCGAGGAUAACCUUCCGAAAGGUUGGCUAAUACUCGGUAAGCUUACGGUGUCUUCGGACGCUGUGGGAAAAGUAGGCCUCUGUUUACAAGCUUACGCUCUGAGAUGAGCCCGCGGCCCAUCAGCUAGUUGGCGGUGUAACGGACCACCAAGGCAACGACGGGUAGCUGGGCUGAGAGGACGAUCAGCCACGCUGGAACUGAGACACGGUCCAGACUCCUACGGGAGGCAGCAGUGGGGAAUUUUCCACAAUGGGCGAAAGCCUGAUGGAGCAACGCCGCGUGUGUGAUGAAGGUUUUCGGAUCGUAAAGCACUUUCGACUGGGACGAAAAACCUUUGGCUAACAUCCAGGGGCCUGACGGUACCAGGAGAAGAAGCACCGGCUAACUCUGUGCCAGCCGCCGCCGUAACAC